ensembl:lncRNA
UUAAAUUUGAACUGGCUGCAGCAGUGAUUAAGAUUACAGAGCCCAUGCCUGACAUCUGAAUCAUCAGUACUCUCUUCACCUGCCCUCCCUCUCUCGGCUUCCUGUUGUUCCUGCGUGAUCCUCCACUCGUGUAUAUGAUUGGAUUUGGGUUUAACAGAAACCUGUAAUUACACAGCCAUUGUGUUCAAGCUAAGCCAAGGAUUGACAGCAGCAGAGGCACAACCACGGUGAAGGCUGCGGGUGCAGGCACUCCGCUGGAGGGUGAGCUGGGAGCCAGCCAGGAGGAGGCAUUUGUGAGGACAGACUUGCAGCUGCUCUUCUGCUCCAUGCACUGAAGGUGACAGAGAGGAUAAGAAAGGGGAAAAAAGAAACAAAGGGUGAGAUGAGAAGUUUAAAGAUGAAAAAAGCUAAAGGCUGGAAGUCUGCAGUCAUAACACCUGUCUUCCUUCUCUCUACAGCCGCUCUACACUGACCAGUCCAACUGCUCUGAGACUCCAGGCCAUCUGCUGUUAAACACACACACAUGCAAACACACAGCGGACCAGAGCCAUUAAUGUAAAAUUGCUCCAUUGAGAGACACUCGGGAUAGAUAUUAUUAGCCGAUUAAUAAUUACCUAAUGAGUUUAUAAUAGGCCUGUGACUGGUACUAAAUGAAUUAGAUCUGCAUGUGAAUCUGGUCCGUUUGGGUUUUACUCUUUCAGCGUGAAUUAUUAACAGUUUAUCGUUAGCAUUAGCCCUUUAUACGGCACAUUCAUUCCACGUUACUGGGGAUUCACUUUCCAGAAAACAUCAGGGAUAUUGCCUUACACAACCACCCACCCACCCAGAUUUGUACUCGCAAGCAUGCUAAUGUACGCACACUAAUGGAUGUUUUAAGUGUCAGCACAUGACAUUUGCAAGGGCUUUCACAACACCCCAGAAGAGCAAAAAGACAGAGAGAGUCAUCCAACACUGAGCCGCCCAGCACAAGGCCGGUUAUGACAACCAUUUAGCCAGAAUUAGCUGGCAAAUUGACUAGGCUUUUACAUGUAGCUGUAUAUUACCCAAGGGGCAUUGUGAGGUUUUGAGAAGCCCUGGGCUAAAACUGACCAUGGGCUGCACCGUGGAUAUCAUGCCAGCCUAAAAGUGUUCAGGUCCCUGUGGGGAUUGAGGGAAUGUGGAGGACUCAAAUGGAGAGGCAAAUGGUGACACAACUUUGUACAGUGUCAUUGAAUCUGUGUGUUUUAAAGGGACAGUUUACCCAGAAAUAAACAUUUUAUUUUCAUUUACUCAUAU